UACGUAGGGUGCAAGCGUUGUCCGGAAUUAUUGGGCGUAAAGAGCGUGUAGGCGGCCAGGUAGGUCUGGUGUGAAAACUCGAGGCUUAACCUUGAGAUGUCAUCGGAAACCAUUUGGCUAGAGUCCGGAAGAGGAAAGUGGAAUUCCUGGUGUAGCGGUGAAAUGCGCAGAUAUCAGGAAGAACACCCGUGGCGAAAGCGGCUCUCUGGAACGGUACUGACGCUGAGACGCGAAAGCGUGGGGAGCGAACAGG
rnacentral:rRNA from 1 species